CGACAACUCCGAUUAGGGUUUCAUCUUCUUCUACACGCUUCCAACUCGCAACAUUCUACUUUCUCCCCAAAUCUUCCAGGUAAGAUUCCAAAUCUCUAAUCUGUAAGCGAAUUAUGAAUCCUAAUAUGUUAGUAAGCAUCAUUCUUGAUUUUUUCUUUCUGGUUUCUUCAACUUACCAACACCCGACACGAUAUGAUCCUCAUCCCUUCCUCCAUUUCACUCCGAUUUCUUCAUGAACUUAGAGUUAUAGAUCCAAAUGAAUCAAGUUUUUGAUAUUGAAGGAAGAAAUUUUUAGGGUUUCACAUCUCAUUCUCAAUCGGCUAACAGCAAGGUAAUCUUAAGUUUUCUAUGUUGAUCCAAUCUUAAUAUUUUCAAUCUUUAUUCAUCAUUCUUGAUGUCGAUUUAAUUUCUUUUCUGUUUUGAUUUGUCAAUCUUUCGAUAUUAUUAUCCGAUCUGUUUAUUCUCAUCAUUAUUUGGAUUCCUUAAUCGUAUCACUUCAACAUCAGGUACGAUCCAGAUGUGUUUGUUCUUUAACAUAUAUUGUUGAUUUUUUGUUUAAAAUAUUCCCAUUUUUUGAUUUAGAGUAAAUUACAAGAAUUAUGGUUUAAUGAUUGAAAUUAUCAGUGUAAUUUAGAGUACAUUACAAGAAUUGUUCGUGUAGGUUUAGGAUUAUUAUAUCUUGAAGAAACAAUUAGAUUAUAAGAUCUUUUUUUGUUAUAAUUACAAUUUAGUUCUUUAAAAAGUACUUAAAUAAACUGGUGGCAUAUCGCAAGUCUAUAAUUUGUAUAUGAUCUGUCUUUUAUUGUUUUAUGGUGAAUCAUUGCAGGUACCAGAGAGGAAACUGCAUUUAAUGCCCCAAUAAGCAAGAACACAUGGACUAGAAUGUUUGGAUUUCAUUUGACUUGAGCAGGAAAGCAAUCAAGACCAAUCGACGAUUUGAUCUCAGUUGAUGGCCGCAGGCUACAAUCCAUCACAAAGGCACAAAGGAAGAGGGGGAUAGUGGUUUUGAAAGUCGAUGGUAUCAGCAUAGAGAUGCUAGACAUAUUGCUGCCAUGGAGGCCAUGAAAGAGGUUUCGGUUGCCAAAAGCAUGCUUCAAUGUAUAAGGAGAAGAUUGUCAACUAAAAAAGUGAAGUUGCUACCGUGGUUAAGUUGUGAAGCUCACUCUUUGCUUAAAGGGGACCCGACGCUAAGGCUUGGAAGCUGGACUCGAGGUUGUCAUGAUAUCAAAAAUCAUAAAUGGGUCAACGAAAUAGCAAGUGAAUCUUAAAGAAAAACUGGUUUCAAGAUGGGUAUAAAUUUCAAAGCGGACUAGACUCACUUUAUCAGCACCAGAGAUGGACACCAGAUUUCUACUCAUGUUAGGGUAUCCCCUGUUUUAAUCAAGUCAAUGUACGCAUCAAGUUCAAAAAGAAGAACUGUUUGUUGGAAAAUAAUUUUUUUGAAAGUAAAAUAAAAAGUCAAUGUUUCUUUUUUCAAUUUUAACAAGAAGUCAACAGAAAUCAAAGAAAGGCCAUAGGUUAUAUUUGUUUGCAAUAUAUAGAUAUGGGGUGUAAUAUUGAAUGCUGAUACAACGUUUGAGUCUAUUAUGGUUGGUUUA